UACGUAGGGUGCAAGCGUUGUCCGGAAUUAUUGGGCGUAAAGAGCUCGUAGGCGGUUUGUCGCGUCGAAUGUGAAAACCCGGGGCUCAACUCCGGGCUUGCGGGCGAUACGGGCAGGCUAGAGUUCGGUAGGGGAGACUGGAAUUCCUGGUGUAGCGGUGAAAUGCGCAGAUAUCAGGAGGAACACCGGUGGCGAAGGCGGGUCUCUGGGCCGAUACUGACGCUGAGGAGCGAAAGCGUGGGGGAGCGAACAGG
rnacentral:rRNA from 1 species